CCGUUGAAAGCUGUGAACGUAUUCAUACUUUUACAAUGAGCCUAAAGAUACAACAAACGAGAACGAGUAGUUUGACUGCUAACUCAUCUCUCCAUUUUUUUUGGAGCUAGCUAACAAGUUGGACAAAAGUCAAGUACUGUGUAAUGAUUUGCCUUCUCUACUAUUGUAUAUUUUUUAAUCCUUAGAUAGAUUUCAGAGAGCUUUGGGAACAUGCAUCACCUGAGCCUGACAGCACUAGGAAAAUGUCAGAAAGGACCAUAUAUAUAUUAAGUGUUGGCAAAUAGCCAUGGUUGGUGGGGAAGAAAGAGCAAACAUUUAAACAAAUGGGGUAAGAAAGACACUAACGAUAGGAAGAGGAUGCAGAAGGCAAGCAAUCAUUUUGCAAACUCAGACCUAAUGGUUGUUAUGUGAAGUUUUAUGAUUCCACCUAGCAAUGAGCUUUCCUUUCUGCGUAAUGAGGGUGAUUUAAUGCUGCUUACCAGAACUCACCUUCAGAGGCACAGGGCUUGGAGCCUUUCCAGGAGAGGAGGUCUCUCCCUGGGUACCUUUACAAAUGCAUAGUAGUGUUUCAUGUGUUUCUUCUCUUCUUCCACAGACAGAGCAGGCACGUCCAUACUGUCUUCAGCAUGCUCCCAAUGUGUGUGUGCAGUCCUGUGUUUAGUCGGCCACUAUCAGCAGAUCUCCUCCUCACAGGUGUUGGGAAAAAUUAUUCACCAGGAGCAAUGGAUGACUUUUCUUAGCAGUGCUCCCACCUGCCUCUAUGGAGGCAGAGAAGGGAUGAGUUUUGGUUGGAGAUGAGGCCUGGUCCCCCACUGUCCUUUGGGAAUGACCUCAGGUAUCUGCCACAGCUGGAGGCUCCUGCACUAGUGAAACCUCAGCCUCUCUGAUCCUACAAACAGCCCCUCAGAUUUAUAUUUUCUCUCUUUUAUUUUGGGCCGUGGGAUAGAUGAGGUCCAAAAAGGGCUAUCUCCUCAGUGUUUAACACUGUGAAACACAACAACAGGGAUCUGGUGGCUGCAGUGCGUGGGCUCCUGCUCAGUCUCUAGGAAACAGAUUGCUCUGCUGUAGUGAUGGUUGGGUCACUCUCUUAUGGAGGCUGAUGCCAGCCAAGAGUCUAUGUAAAUGUUUUGUUAAGCUUUUACCAGUCUGAAAGCAGAGUCCUAGGUUUGCUGGCAUCUUUGAAGGCUUUGGGAUGGUUUCUAACAGAUUAUCUUGAAACUCAGUAUUUCUGCGUGUACAUCUGAAUAACCUUUCCCAUUUCCAUCCAGAUUCAAGACAGAAGAAUGCUUCAAAAUGAGAAUGUUUUCUGGAAAAUAUUUCAUUGGGGUUGCUCUGACUUGAAAGCCAGCUUUACAUCACGUCUCUGAUCUGAUUCCUUGCAGGAAGGUGCCAGGGCCAGUUAUUAAUUGCACGCUGCCACAGUUCUGCACUGGGGUUAAAAUGACAACGUGGGCGUCAAUCACCCUGAUUUUGAUCUGGUAUAACAAUGCCCUGAAUGAGGAAAGGCCCACCAAAGUCCUGGUUUAGCUGGUUUUUCAUCCUCACUCUGUGUGUAAUCUCCGUCAAACAGAAGUGCCAUUUUUAACUGUAAUCUAAUCCUAUUUGCUGCUGUACUGGCACUGAGGGUAGCUCAUGUCAUCAGGCCACUGCAAACAUAAGCAAACGAGGCUUUGUUAGGUAAGUAAAUAUUUUCUCUGUUUGACGCAUGAAUGAAACGACACAGAUAUGAGUGAUUGACUGACACCAGAGAUGGCAGCCCCGUGGAUGCCCCCCGCCUGCCCUACUGCAGUCAGCAUUCUGCCCAUACACACCACAUAUAAUCAGUUUUUGUUUAUGCAAAACUUUAAAUGAGAGAGUGAUGCUUGUGAUUUGAACUGCAGUUCCUUCGACUCUUCUAACUUCUCCAUCUGAAACAGGGUACAGACAGCUAGUCAAUGUACACGCUAGGUGAGUCCUGUCACCAGCUUCCAGCCAUGCAAUCACAUCUCUUAGCAGCCAUAUAUGAAGAAGCAGAAACAGAUUAUUGAUUUAGCAAAACUUUUUCUUGAAAGACUGAAAUAGAGUUUGUACCUUGUUUGCCUUCCUUCUGUUUUGGCAGCUCAGCCUCCAACAGCUGUGGCUGCUCCCCUCCUGCUCCUAUAAGCCUGCACCUUGGCAGGGGGGGGGCUCCAGCAAUGAACAUUUCAGCCAUGAAUUUUCCUGCUUUCUCUCCCUGGGAAAACUGAAAGAGGCUCCGAAGAGAUUGGAAGAAGUUCCAAAGGGACCCUGAUGUCUUUCUUUAAGAGGUUGCCUGUGUAGCACUGCUGUUGAUUUUAUAUGGAUUGCUCUGAAAGUACUGCCACCCAUUUAUUUCCGUGGAAACCACAACAGAUACAAAAAGCACAACAACUAUUUGAUAGAACAAAUUCUCAGCUACAAAACACAAACAGAUAGAAGACAAAAGGUGCCAAACCCAGACUAUAUGGUGAGUGUGGUAGGACAGUGCAGCUAAGAUUGGCAAUGUUCUCCAUGAUCUUCAAACCGGCGUGGGGCCUGGUAUUAUCGUGUUGCAAGAGAAAGGUUGUCUUCUUCUCUGGAAUUUUGAGCCUUCAGCUUAGUCAGCAUUGCAAGGCAGUUAGCAGUCAGAGAUGGUUUCUUCAGAUUCCAGGAAAUCCAGAAGGAUUGCCUCUUUCCUCUCCCAAAAGAUGGUGCACAUCGUGUGUUACCAUUCCAUGGACUGCCAUAGUGACUCUGACUUGUAGUGGUGACACCACAUCUUGUCACUGGUAAUGAUGCAAUUCAGGACACAGUCUUGUGUCUGUGUCAGCCUUGUAUUGGUUCAGUAGGUCCUGACAAACUUGCAUACGGUGUUCUUUCUGCUCCUGUUUGAGCAUUUGUGGAGCCCACAUGAUGCAAAAUUUGCAGUAUUCCCAUGUUGUAAUAUUCCAACAUUGCCACCAUCAUUUGCAUCACAUUAAUGCCCACACUCAGCUUUGUACACAGUUCCCUGCUCAUAAUCUCCCAGUAUGCAUGGAUGAGCUGAUAGAGAUGCUCUUCAUUUCUUGAUGUGAUAGCUGUGCAUGGCCAUUCAGAACACGACCUAUCUUUGACGUCACUGUCAACACAGCUGAAACACAGCACUCACCACCUCACUGUCCCACAUCCACUGUUUGUUCUCCAGAAAUGUUCAGCAAGCAUUAACGAAUAUCAACGGGUGCAAUUUUUUUUUCUGUGUGGAGGAAUUCAGUGAUACACCUUUGCUUCAUAUGCACUUCCAUAUCAGACACCAUUGUGUCAGACUGUCCCUCUGCUGCCAUCUGUCACACGGCAACAACAUAGAAUGGAAUAUUGGCGGGAAGGCUCAGCCUCUACCACCACACCACCACCAUCUGCCUCUGAUGUUGUGGGCCAACAUAAUAAAAGAGGAGGCAUUACUUUUGGUGCAGACCUCGUGAUUAUGUCUUGUAACAAGAUGAGAGAUACAAGAUGUCCCAUCCAAUCUUGCUGUGUUUAUAUGUCAGGAAGACAUGCAUAACUCUACUAUCCAUGCCCUUUUCUUCUCCUUUCACAGGUUCCUCACUGAUGAUUGUUUACUGUCAGCUGCACGGAGUGUCCCCACUGUUUCCUAAUUCAUUUCCCCACGUUCUCCUACUGCCCUUGACUUGAUGGGUGUCUGGUAGUAGCCUGGUGCUGCUGGCAAGCUCAGGUGAUUCCCAGGUUCCCUUCUGGUGACAAAUGUGCCUCUUAGAUUCUCUCAUUUCCAGUUCCUGGCCACCUUGCCUUCCUUUUGCGGUGCCUUUUGUGGAUGCAGCUGCUUUCUGGAGCACGCUUGCUUUCUGGAGAUGAACAUCUUAUACCUCAAUCUUAUGUGCUGACAACAAAUACAGUGCAUGCCAAAAACGCUGUUGGAUCAAACCCUGCAAAAUGAUGCUUCCAACACGCUCAACAAUUCCAAUCCUACCCCUCUGGCAAUGGCAUGGGAAAAUGAAUGGGACUCUGUAAUCCUGGCUGUGUGCAAUCCAGUGUUUUUUCACAGUCUCUUGUGUUAUAUUCAGGAAGUACGGAGGGUUAAUCUCAGAGGAUAAUACAAUUAUAUCAAGGGUUUACAUUGACUUUUUGUCCAUAAGAAGGCUCUAAAAAUUGUACAGAACCAGGAACACGUUGCAUUUUCCCACGGAUUUUUAAUUGUACGCUUGAUAUGCAUUCUAUUUAUUUUGAUUAAUCGCCAUUAUUUAAGUUAGAAAUGAUCCUUCAGCCGACAGCCCAGCACGAAGGGAGGGAAGACACCGUCAAGGCGGCCCCGCUCGUGUGGUGGGCGCCGGGGAGCGGCCCCUCGGAGGAGGCCCUUCCCCGAAGCCAAAGCUUUGCGGGUGCUUCGCCCGCAGCCACUGGAGGGCAGUAAAUGACCUGAAUAUGCUUUUUUUCCCUGCUUUUAUCUGUUUUUUUAAUCGUUCCGUUUCCUUUCCACCCGGCUCCUAUCUUGUCAAGAAAUAAAAAUUUGACGCUGAU
ensembl:lncRNA